UACGUAGGUGGCAAGCGUUGUCCGGAAUUAUUGGGCGUAAAGAGCUCGUAGGCGGUGUGUCACGUCGGCCGUGAAAACCUGCAGCUUAACUGUGGGCGUGCGGGCGAUACGGGCAGACUGGAGUACUGCAGGGGAGACUGGAAUUCCUGGUGUAGCGGUGGAAUGCGCAGAUAUCAGGAGGAACACCGGUGGCGAAGGCGGGUCUCUGGGCAGUAACUGACGCUGAGGAGCGAAAGCGUGGGGAGCGAACAGG
rnacentral:rRNA from 1 species